AGUGAACGCUGGCGGUAGGCCUAACACAUGCAAGUCGAACGGCAGCACAGUAAGAGCUUGCUCUUACGGGUGGCGAGUGGCGGACGGGUGAGGAAUACAUCGGAAUCUACUUUUUCGUGGGGGAUAACGUAGGGAAACUUACGCUAAUACCGCAUACGACCUACGGGUGAAAGCAGGGGAUCUUCGGACCUUGCGCGAUUGAAUGAGCCGAUGUCGGAUUAGCUAGUUGGCGGGGUAAAGGCCCACCAAGGCGACGAUCCGUAGCUGGUCUGAGAGGAUGAUCAGCCACACUGGAACUGAGACACGGUCCAGACUCCUACGGGAGGCAGCAGUGGGGAAUAUUGGACAAUGGGCGCAAGCCUGAUCCAGCCAUGCCGCGUGGGUGAAGAAGGCCUUCGGGUUGUAAAGCCCUUUUGUUAGGAAAGAAAAGCAGCAGGUUAAUACCCCGCUGUUCUGACGGUACCCAAAGAAUAAGCACCGGCUAACUACGUG
rnacentral:rRNA from 1 species